rnacentral:rRNA from 1 species
CAGUCGCCGCGGGAAUACAGAGGGUGCGAGCGUUAAUCGGAUUUACUGGGCGUAAAGCGUGCGUAGGCGGCUAAUUGAGUCGGAUGUGAAAUCCCCGAGCUUAACUUGGGAAUUGCAUUCGAUACUGGUUAGCUAGAGUGUGGGAGAGGAUGGUAGAAUUCCAGGUGUAGCGGUGAAAUGCGUAGAGAUCUGGAGGAAUACCGAUGGCGAAGGCAGCCAUCUGGCCUAACACUGACGCUGAGGUACGAAAGCAUGGGGAGCAAACAGGAUUAGAUACCCCCGUAGUCCCUGUCUCUAUACA